rnacentral:rRNA from 1 species
GACGAACGCUGGCGGCGUGCCUAAUACAUGCAAGUAGAACGCUGAAGGAGGAGCUUGCUUCUCUGGAUGAGUUGCGAACGGGUGAGUAACGCGUGGGUAACCUGCCUGGUAGCGGGGGAUAACUAUUGGAAACGAUAGCUAAUACCGCAUAAGAGUAGAUGUUGCAUGACAUUUGCUUAAAAGGUGCAAUUGCAUCACUACCAGAUGGACCUGCGUUGUAUUAGCUAGUUGGUGGGGUAACGGCUCACCAAGGCGACGAUACAUAGCCGACCUGAGAGGGUGAUCGGCCACACUGGGACUGAGACACGGCCCAGACUCCUACGGGAGGCAGCAGUAGGGAAUCCUCGGCAAUGGACGGAAGUCUGACCGAGCAACGCCGCGUGAGUGAAGAAGGUUUUCGGAUCGUAAAGCUCUGUUGUAAGAGAAGAACGAGUGUGAGAGUGGAAAGUUCACGCUGUGAC